rnacentral:rRNA from 1 species
UCCCUACGGGAGGCAGCAGUGAGGAAUAUUGGUCAAUGGACGAGAGUCUGAACCAGCCAAGUAGCGUGAAGGAUGACUGCCCUAUGGGUUGUAAACUUCUUUUAUAUGGGAAUAAAACAGGGUAUGCAUACCCUCUUGUAUGUACCAUAUGAAUAAGGAUCGGCUAACUCCGUGCCAGCAGCCGCGGUAAUACGGAGGAUCCGAGCGUUAUCCGGAUUUAUUGGGUUUAAAGGGUGCGCAGGCGGGCUGUUAAGCCGGCGGUAAAAAUUCAGGGCUCCACCCUGUCGAGCCGUCGGUACUGGCAG